rnacentral:rRNA from 1 species
AUCAAACAGGAUUAGAUACCCUGGUAGUCCUCGCCAUAAACGAUGAGUGCUAAGUGUUAGGGGGUUUCCGCCCCUUAGUGCUGCAGCUAACGCAUUAAGCUCUCCGCCUGGGGAGUACGACCGCAAGGUUGAAACUCAAAGGAAUUGACGGGGACCCGCACAAGCGGUGGAGCAUGUGGUUUAAUUUGAAGCAACGCGAAGGACCUUACCAAAUCUUGACAUCCUUUGACAACUCUAGAGAUAGAGCCUUCUCCCUUCGGGGGACAAAGUGACAGGUGGUGCAUGGUUGUCGUCAGCUCGUGUCGUGAGAUGUUGGGUUAAGUCCCGCAACGAGCGCACCCCUUAAGCUUAGUUGCCAUCAUUAAGUUGGGCACUCUAAGUUGACUGCCGGUGACAAACCGGAGGAAGGUGGGGAUGACGUCAAAUCAUCAUGCCCCUUAUGAUUUGGGCUACACACGUGCUACAAUGGACAAUACAAAGGGCAGCGAAACCGCGAGGUCAAGCAAAUCCCAUAAAGUUGUUCUCAGUUCGGAUUGUAGUCUGCAACUCGACUACAUGAAGCUGGAAUCGCUAGUAAUCGUAGAUCAGCAUGCUACGGAGAAUACGUUCCCGGGUGUUGUACACCCCGCCCGUCACCCCUCGAGAGUUUGUUACUACCCGAAGCCGGUGGAGUUCUAAAGGGGAGCUAGCCGUCGAAGGUGGGACAAAU